CCUACGGGUGGCAGCAGUGAGGAAUAUUGGUCAAUGGACGAGAGUCUGAACCAGCCAAGUAGCGUGAAGGAUGACUGCCCUAUGGGUUGUAAACUUCUUUUAUAUGGGAAUAAAAUGUUCCACGUGUGGGAUUUUGUAUGUACCAUAUGAAUAAGGAUCGGCUAACUCCGUGCCAGCAGCCGCGGUAAUACGGAGGAUCCGAGCGUUAUCCGGAUUUAUUGGGUUUAAAGGGAGCGUAGGUGGAUUGUUAAGUCAGUUGUGAAAGUUUGCGGCUCAACCGUAAAAUUGCAGUUGAAACUGGCAGUCUUGAGUACAGUAGAGGUGGGCGGAAUUCGUGGUGUAGCGGUGAAAUGCUUAGAUAUCGCGAAGAACUCCGAUUGCGAAGGCAGUUCACUGGACUGCAACUGACACUGAGGCUCGAAAGUGUGGGUAUCAAACAGGAUUAGAUACCCUAGUAGUC
rnacentral:rRNA from 1 species